AGUGAACGCUGGCGGUAGGCCUAACACAUGCAAGUCGAACGGCAGCACAGUAAGAGCUUGCUCUUACGGGUGGCGAGUGGCGGACGGGUGAGGAAUACAUCGGAAUCUACUUUUUCGUGGGGGAUAACGUAGGGAAACUUACGCUAAUACCGCAUACGACCUACGGGUGAAAGCAGGGGAUCUUCGGACCUUGCGCGAUUGAAUGAGCCGAUGUCGGAUUAGCUAGUUGGCGGGGUAAAGGCCCACCAAGGCGACGAUCCGUAGCUGGUCUGAGAGGAUGAUCGGCCACACUGGAACUGGGACAGGGUCCAGACUCCUACGGGAGGCAGCAGUGGGGAAUAUUGGACAAUGGGCGCAAGCCUGGUCCAGCCAUACCGCGUGGGUGAAGAAGGCCUUCGGGUUGUAAAGCCCUUUUGUUGGGAAAGAAAAGCAGCAGGUUAAUACGCCGCUGUUCUGACGGUACCCAAAGAAUAAGCACCGGCUAACUUCGUG
rnacentral:rRNA from 1 species